CGGCGGACGGGUGAGUAACGCGUGGGUAACCUGCCUCAUACAGGGGGAUAACAGUUGGAAACGGCUGCUAAUACCGCAUAAGCGCACAGUACCGCAUGGUACGGUGUGAAAAACUCCGGUGGUAUAAGAUGGACCCGCGUCUGAUUAGGUAGUUGGUGGGGUAACGGCCUACCAAGCCGACGAUCAGUAGCCGACCUGAGAGGGUGACCGGCCACAUUGGGACUGAGACACGGCCCAA
rnacentral:rRNA from 1 species